rnacentral:rRNA from 1 species
CGGUGAAGUAGGUGAACAAGCUGGAAAGCUUGGCGAUACAGGGUGAUAGCCCCGUAACCGACGCUUCAUCGAGCGUGAAAUCGAGUAGGGCGGGACACGUGAUAUCCUGUCUGAAUAUGGGGGGACCAUCCUCCAAGGCUAAAUACUCCUGACUGACCGAUAGUGAACCAGUACCGUGAGGGAAAGGCGAAAAGAACCCCUGUGAGGGGAGUGAAAUAGAACCUGAAACCGUGUACGUACAAGCAGUAGGAGCACCUUCGUGGUGUGACUGCGUACCUUUUGUAUAAUGGGUCAGCGACUUAUAUUCAGUGGCAAGGUUAACCGUAUAGGGGAGCCGUAGCGAAAGCGAGUCUUAACUGGGCGCUCAGUCUCUGGAUAUAGACCCGAAACCGGGUGAUCUAGCCAUGGGCAGGUUGAAGGUUGAGUAACAUCAACUGGAGGACCGAACCGACUAAUGUUGAAAAAUUAGCGGAUGACUUGUGGCUAGGGGUGAAAGGCCAAUCAAACUCGGAGAUAGCUGGUUCUCCCCGAAAGCUAUUUAGGUAGCGCCUCGGACGAAUACUACUGGGGGUAGAGCACUGUUAAGGCUAGGGGGUCAUCCCGACUUACCAACCCUUUGCAAACUCCGAAUACCAGUAAGUACUAUCCGGGAGACACACGGCGGGUGCUAACGUCCGUCGUGGAGAGGGAAACAACCCAGACCGCCAGCUAAGGUCCCAAAGUAUUGCUAAGUGGGAAACGAUGUGGGAAGGCUCAGACAGCUAGGAUGUUGGCUUAGAAGCAGCCAUCAUUUAAAGAAAGCGUAAUAGCUCACUAGUCGAGUCGGCCUGCGCGGAAGAUGUAACGGGGCUAAGCAAUACACCGAAGCUGCGGCAAUAUCUUUUAGAUAUUGGGUAGGGGAGCGUUCUGUAAGCCGUUGAAGGUGAAUCGUAAGGUUUGCUGGAGGUAUCAGAAGUGCGAAUGCUGACAUGAGUAACGACAAAGGGGGUGAAAAACCUCCUCGCCGGAAGACCAAGGGUUCCUGUCCAACGUUAAUCGGGGCAGGGUGAGUCGACCCCUAAGGUGAGGCCGAAAGGCGUAAUCGAUGGGAAACGGGUUAAUAUUCCCGUACUUCUGACUAUUGCGAUGGGGGGACGGAGAAGGCUAGGUGGGCCAGGCGACGGUUGUCCUGGUUCAAGUGCGUAGGCUUGAGAGUUAGGUAAAUCCGGCUCUCUCUAAGGCUGAGACACGACGUCGAGCUGCUACGGCAGUGAAGUCAUUGAUGCCAUGCUUCCAGGAAAAGCCUCUAAGCUUCAGAUAGUCAGGAAUCGUACCCCAAACCGACACAGGUGGUCGGGUAGAGAAUACCAAGGCGCUUGAGAGAACUCGGGUGAAGGAACUAGGCAAAAUGGUACCGUAACUUCGGGAGAAGGUACGCUCUUGAUGGUGAAGUCCCUCGCGGAUGGAGCUGACGAGAGUCGCAGAUACCAGGUGGCUGCAACUGUUUAUUAAAAACACAGCACUGUGCAAAAUCGCAAGAUGACGUAUACGGUGUGACGCCUGCCCGGUGCCGGAAGGUUAAUUGAUGGGGUUAGCGCAAGCGAAGCUCUUGAUCGAAGCCCCGGUAAACGGCGGCCGUAACUAUAACGGUCCUAAGGUAGCGAAAUUCCUUGUCGGGUAAGUUCCGACCUGCACGAAUGGCGUAAUGAUGGCCACGCUGUCUCCACCCGAGACUCAGUGAAAUUGAAAUCGCUGUGAAGAUGCAGUGUACCCGCGGCUAGACGGAAAGACCCCGUGAACCUUUACUACAGCUUGGCACUGAACAUUGAACCUACAUGUGUAGGAUAGGUGGGAGGCUAUGAAGACGUGACGCUAGUUGCGUUGGAGCCGUCCUUGAAAUACCACCCUUGUAUGUUUGAUGUUCUAACUUAGACCCGUUAUCCGGG